GUUCUGACGUGCAAAUCGAUCGUCAAAUUUGGGUAUAGGGGCGAAAGACUAAUCGAACCAUCGACCUGUAGGAACACUACUAGGUGGUUAAGAGGCGGCUAAAAGUGCCGUCUAGUCCCGACGCCGGGGCGACACUGUCAAAUUGCGGGAACAUCCUUAGAGCCUAGACUACCGCAGCCUUCCUGAAAGGGGGGUGCGCACCAGGGUAAUGACCUCGGGUAUGGUAAUAACGUCUAGGAUUGGACAAUCCGCAGCCAAGCCCUACGGACCUCGGUCUAUGGGUGCAGUUCAUCGACUAGAUGGCAGUGGGUGGCAGCAAUGCCGCUUAAGAUAUAGUCAGACCCCCGGGAGACCGGGCG
rfam:Pseudogymnoascus pannorum VKM F-4516 (FW-969) contig_403, whole genome shotgun sequence.